UUGUGACAACCUCUGCUUUCAACAGUAUCGCCGCCAGAAUCACCACCGUCACCCUACAGCAACAACGUCGCGGGACAAAACCGCCAUAGCAAGCACAACACCACCGACCAUCCCUCACUAUUGCAACCCCCAUAUAGCGUCACCCAUGCCAUCCCACAUACAAACCACCAUCCACAACCACCAUCGUCCUCCUCCAGCCCAAUGCUAGAACCAAAUCCUGAACUCAUCCAACAUCACCAACAACUCAACAUCACAGCCAUCACCAUCGCUGGAACACUACAACUGUCAAAGGAAAGCACAAUCUCACCACUUUCUCGGUUAGCACCGUCACAGUCGCCAACCAGCAACGAUCACCGGAGGCUAGAGUAGGAAUCCCCUUUUUUGAGCAGCCACAAAGAGUGAGAGGGAGAAGACGGGUGGGGAGAACGAGUGGAAAGAAAAUAUGAGUGGGAGGAGAGAAGAAAGGUUGGGGGGAGAGAGAGAGAGAGAAAUUAAGAUAGAGUAAAUACGAGUGUGAAAGAGAGAGAAUAGGGUGGGAGGAGAGAGAAGGG
rnacentral:lncRNA from 1 species